GGAGAAGCAGCACUUUGCCCCAUCUCCUCCUGGAUGAGCUACCAACAUCCAGAGCCACGCUGAGACCUCCCCCUGCCAUCUCACACCUCAUUUUGGCUGAGACACCAAAUGCCCCAGCAGGGCCCGUCACACCUUCACCCCAAGAACAGGCACUUCCCUCCCCACAGAGGAGCUUUAUCCCUUUACAAAGCAAUCCUGAGCGAAGCCGAACGUCGAGGAGCAGAGCCGUGCAAAGGCCAGGACGAUCGAUCUCCUCUCCGAGCAGGACAAACACCGCGGCUCCUGGCAAACUGCUCUUACCAGCAUGGGGACAGUUGUCAGACUUACUGCACGUCCUCACAUCCAGAUUAGGAAAAAAUGGCAUUCAGGGCAAGUUUGUAAUACUUCUCUAGGCUUGGCCAUCCCCUUUAGAACACAAAGCAGAAGGUGGACUUGUGAUGUGCAAACUGCUUGCAUCCUACUGAGCCCAGAGAAGAUCCUGGUUUUGCACAGGCAUCUCCUCUGCAUGGCCACCACUUGCUCCUCAGACUUUUCUUCAGCCACCUUCCUGCUCAUCCUCUGCAGCAAGAACCACACCAUAAAAUGUGCUAAAAGAAGGGCGAGCCCGUGACGACCAGAUUAAAUAUUUGUUCUACUCCUGUAGCAUGGUGUAGAAUUGUCCUCCUUGUCCCAUCCACUGGAUUUUCCCUCUAAACGUGCAAUCCCCUUGAAAUCACCAGAUGAGCCAUUUUUCUGUUAUAUUACUUAACAAGAUUGCAGAGAACUCCCCACAGAGCCACGGUGAGCACACUACUUGCUAAAGGACAGAACAGUCUCAAACAAGGAGGAACUUGUAUGGGAAGUAAAAAAUAUGACAUAAUUAUCAUGUAAAUUAUAGUGGCGGUUUUAAAUCCCCCACCAGCAAGACAUGAGGUUACACCACAUGUUUCCACGGCCAAGGGAGAAUUGCUUUCUUGCCUGGAGACAAGAGAAUAAUAUUAGAACAACCAAAACCAAGAACAACUCCCUCCAAGCCUCCGAAAGGAAAAGCAGAAACCCACCACACCAACAAAGCAAAUCCCUGUCUUUGGUGCAAUAAAUACUGGCCCUCUCUGGCUAUUGCCCACGUAGAGCUUUCUGUAUUGAUGUGCAGAGCUGCAGAUCCUGCGGUGCAACAUUUGUUGUGAAAAAUUAAGGUAGCAACAGCAGCAAAGUCAAAGAAAAACUUCAGUGAAAUACCAAAGAAAUGGAAGAAAACAACAACAAAAAAAAAUCCCUUUAUUCUGCUUCAAGCCUGUUUAGGCCGUGUUAUCCAAUCUCUUCUCCUGUGUUCUCUGAAACAAGGGUGUCAAUGAAAGAAUUAGCACUUAAAUAAAUACUAAUAUUGAAAGUCCUUUGAAAUGAGCUAUUAUUCCUAUUGAAAUCAUUCUUACAUAUGAUGCAUGGAAAGUGCCACUUGCUGGCAUUUCUGCUGAAUCAGAAGUCACAGCCUGUUCUUAGGGGUGCUAAAUUCUUCUGGGUACAACACAGGAAAAUGCACUACUGCUCCAGAUCGGCCUUCCAC